GUAGGGAAUAUUGCACAAUGGAGGAAACUCUGAUGCAGCGACGCCGCGUGAGUGAUAAAGGCCUUCGGGUCGUAAAGCUCUGUCGCAGGGGAAUAACACAAUGAAGGUACCCUGUAAGAAAGGAUCGGCUAACUUCGUGCCAGCAGCCGCGGUAAGACGAGGGAUCCUAGCGUUGUUCGGAAUCAUUGGGCGUAAAGCGGAUGUAGGUGGCUAUGUAAGUCAGAUGUGAAAGCCUGGGGCUCAACCCCAGAAGUGCAUUUGAUACUGCGUAGCUUGAGUGUCGGAGAGGUUACUAGAAUUGUUGGUGUAGUGGUGAAAUACGUAGAUAUCAACAGGAAUACCGGAGGCGAAGGCGGGUAACUGGCCGAACACUGACACUGAGAUCCGAAAGCGUGGGGAUCAAACAGGAUUAGAAACCCGAGUAGUCC
rnacentral:rRNA from 1 species